AUGAUGAACUGCAAGGAAUUCACUGUCGACGAGUUCCCUGUCCUGGUGCGGGUUACCGCUGCACCAUGGCGUCAUGCCAGUGAGAUACCACGACAUGGCUUGGAUGUGGUCGUCUUGCUCGACAUCAGCAGAAACAUGCAGGCGGAGAUGCUGGAGAGCCUGAAGCAGGCCAUGAUGAUCGUGAUCGACAAACUCAGCCCAGAUGACCGGCUUUCCAUCGUGCUAGGGUUCCAAAAAACUACCGGUGGAGGCGCGGCGCGCAAACCAGGAAGCGGAGGCGCGGCGCGUGAACCAGCGGAGAAGGCGGCGCACCUCGUCCUCAACCUGCCGUCGACAUCCGACUGCAGCUCUUGCUGCAAGUCAGGCAACCAUGCUUGUGGAAAUCCUGAAAUCCCCAUCUUUUUUCUUCUUAGCCCUGAGAGAAACAUGUCAGAUCAGCCUUGCUCAACUUGCAAUAUGUCACAAUUGAGUUCCGAUGAGUUCGAAGAUGAUACCAUUGACCCAACAGAAAUUUUCUCUCUAGAAGAUUACUUGGCACAACAGAAUACUCUCAACAACUUUGCUACACAAAUAGCCACAAACAUUCAUCAUACACUAGAAGGUCCAACUGCAAUGGAAUACCGUCCUCCUAAUGGUUUCAUGAGCUUCCUUCAAGGCCAAAGUCAUCCAAACUUCACUUUGCCAGCCCCUCAGCAGCUUGGUUUCCAAUAUCCAAUGUUCUGCACGCAGCCGCCGCCACCACCAGCCAAGCACCACCCUCUUCCAUCAACGUCUAAUCCCAGGACCACAACUCCAUCGAACAAGCGAAAACGUGUCACAAUCGAUGUGGAAGCAGAUGAUGAAGAUAGACAGAGGUUGUACUAUACAAAAGAUGAGGACCUCAGAUUGGUGAGUGCUUGGUUAAGCAAAUCUGUGAAUCCAAUCGAUGGGAAUGCCAAGAAGGGGGAAUACUACUGGAAGGAGGUUGUUGAUACAUACAACAGCACAACAGAGAGUGACCGACAAAGGGAUGUGAAGCACCUCAAGAACCAUUGGUACAAAACAACAAAGAAGGUAACCUCUUUCAAUGGCUGCUAUAACCAGAUGAGAGAUACCUAUGCGAGUGGCCGGUGUGAUAAACAAUUGAUGCAGCAAGCGCUAGACCUGUACCAAAGCCGCAAUGGGCACCAGUUCCUGUAUGUGCAUUGGUGGGAAGCUGUGAAAGACAGCCAAAAGUGGAAGAUUCAUGUAUACACAGAAGGAGAUGGAACAAAGAGUGGAGGUUUCAUGUGUUGGAAAGGAGCACCAGGUGCUGCCUCCAUUGUACAUGCCCUAAGGGCAUGGCCAAUGGGCCACGCUGGACGGGCGCCCCAUGUGCCACCUCCUCCUGCCGAGUGCCACAGCAACCAAACCUGUGGCUUGCAGAUCGAAACGGGCUCCUGCAGAAGAACUCGCUUCUUCGCUGACGAAACCAACGAGGCGGCCGCUGGGGCGACGCGGUGGGAGGUCCGUCGCUCCGCUCGAUUCGGGACCACACUCGCCCAACAAAAUCCCGCGAGCGAGAGGGGAAGGGCGCGAAAGAGAGAAGGGAAGGGCGGGAAGGGGAGAAGAGAAGGGCGCGAACCAGGGAGCGGAGGCGCGGCGCGCAAACCAGGGAGCAGAGGCGUGGCGCGCGAACCAGCGGAGAAGGCGGCGCACCUCGUCCUCAACCUGCCGUCGACAUCCGACUGCAGCUCUUGCUGCAAGAUGUACUAG
rnacentral:rRNA from 1 species